UACGUAGGGUGCGAGCGUUAAUCGGAAUUACUGGGCGUAAAAGCGCACGUAGGCGGAUCUUUAAGUCAGGGGUGAAAUCCCGAAGGCUCAACCUCGGAACUGCCUUUGAUACUGGGGAUCUCGAGUCCGGGAGAGGUGAGUGGAACUGCGAGUGUAGAGGUGAAAAUUCGUAGAUAUUCGCAAGAACACCAGUGGCGAAGGCGGACUCACUGGCCCGGAACGUG
rnacentral:rRNA from 1 species